rnacentral:rRNA from 1 species
UACAGAGGGUGCGAGCGUUAAUCGGAAUUACUGGGCGUAAAGCGUGCGUAGACGGUUAUGUAAGUCAGAUGUGAAAGCCCCGGGCUCAACCUGGGAAUUGCAUUUGAGACUGUGUAGCUAGGGUGCGGAAGAGGGAAGCGGAAUUUCCGGUGUAGCGGUGAAAUGCGUAGAUAUGUGGAGGAACACCGAUGGCGAAGGCAGCCCCCUGGGCUAACACUGACGCUCAUGCACGAAAGCGUGGGGAGCAAACAGG